rnacentral:rRNA from 1 species
GCAGUCGAGGGGUAUUUAUCUUCGGAUAGAGAGACCGGCGCACGGGUGCGUAACGCGUAUGCAAUCUACCUUUUACAGAGGGAUAGCCCAGAGAAAUUUGGAUUAAUACCUCAUAGCAUUGCAGAAUGGCAUCAUUCAGCAAUUAAAGUCACAACGGUAAAAGAUGAGCAUGCGUCCCAUUAGCUAGUUGGUAAGGUAACGGCUUACCAAGGCUACGAUGGGUAGGGGUCCUGAGAGGGAGAUCCCCCACACUGGUACUGAGACACGGACCAGACUCCUACGGGAGGCAGCAGUGAGGAAUAUUGGACAAUGGGCGCAAGCCUGAUCCAGCCAUGCCGCGUGCAGGAUGACGGUCCUAUGGAUUGUAAACUGCUUUUAUACGAGAAGAAACACUCCUUCGUGAAGGAGCUUGACGGUAUCGUAAGAAUAAGGAUCGGCUAACUCCGUGCCAGCAGCCGCGGUAAUACGGAGGAUCCAAGCGUUAUCCGGAAUCAUUGGGUUUAAAGGGUCCGUAGGCGGUUUAAUAAGUCAGUGGUGAAAGCCCAUCGCUCAACGGUGGAACGGCCAUUGAUACUGUUAGACUUGAAUUAUUAGGAAGUAACUAGAAUAUGUAGUGUAGCGGUGAAAUGCUUAGAGAUUACAUGGAAUACCAAUUGCGAAGGCAGGUUACUACUAAUUGAUUGACGCUGAUGGACGAAAGCGUGGGUAGCGAACAGGAUUAGAUACCCUGGUAGUCCACGCCGUAAACGAUGGAUACUAGCUGUUGGGUGCAAACUCAGUGGCUAAGCGAAAGUGAUAAGUAUCCCACCUGGGGAGUACGUUCGCAAGAAUGAAACUCAAAGGAAUUGACGGGGGCCCGCACAAGCGGUGGAGCAUGUGGUUUAAUUCGAUGAUACGCGAGGAACCUUACC